rnacentral:rRNA from 1 species
UACGAGGGGGGCAAAUGUUGUUCGGAAUCACUGGGCGUAAAGGGAGCGUAGGCGGGUUUCUAAGUCAGGUGUUUAAUCCCGGGGCCCAACCCCGGACAGGCACUUGAAACUGGGAAUCUUGAAUAGUGGAGAGGUCAGUGGAAUUGGGGGUGUAGCGGUGGAAUGCGUAGAGAUCCCCAAGAACACCAGUUGCGAAGGCGGCUGACUGGACACAUAUUGACGCUGAGGCCCGAAAGCAUGGGGAGCAACAGG